rnacentral:rRNA from 1 species
CACGUAGGCGGCUCGGUAAGUCAGAUGUGAAAGCCCGGGGCUUAACCCCGGAAGUGCAUUUGAUACUGCCAAGCUUGAGUAUGGGAGAGGGAAGUGGAAUUCCUGGUGUAGAGGUGAAAUUCGUAGAUAUCAGGAGGAACACCGGUGGCGAAGGCGGCUUCCUGGACCAAUACUGACGCUGAGGUGCGAAGGCGUGGGUAGCAAACAGGAUUAGAUACCCUGGUAGUCC